rnacentral:rRNA from 1 species
ACUAAGCAUGCCCAGUACGGCGAGUGAGCGGCACAGCUCAAAUUUGAAAUCUGGCCCCUCGGGCCCGAGUUGUAAUUUGUAGAGGAUGCUUUUGGCAAGGUGCCGCCCGAGUUCCCUGGAACGGGACGCCGCAGAGGGUGAGAGCCCCGUCUGGCUGGCCACCGAGCCUCUGUAAAGCUCCUUCGACGAGUCGAGUAGUUUGGGAAUGCUGCUCAAAAUGGGAGGUAUAUGUCUUCUAAAGCUAAAUAUUGGCCAGAGACCGAUAGCGCACAAGUAGAGUGAUCGAAAGAUGAAAAGCACUUUGAAAAGAGGGUUAAACAGUACGUGAAAUUGUUGAAAGGGAAGCGCUCAUGACCAGACUUGGGCUUGGCGAAUCAUCCGGCGUUCUCGCCGGUGCACUUCGCCUCGCCCAGGCCAGCAUCAGUUCGCGCCGGGGGACAAAAGCUUCGGGAAUGUGGCUCCUCCGGGAGUGUUAUAGCCCGUUGCAUAAUACCCUGGGGCGGACUGAGGUUCGCGCAUCUGCAAGGAUGCUGGCGUAAUGGUCAUCAGCGACCCGUCUUGAAACACGGACCCA